UACGGAGGGUGCAAGCGUUAUCCGGAUUCACUGGGUUUAAAGGGUGCGUAGGUGGGUUGGUAAGUCAGUGGUGAAAUCCCCGAGCUUAACUUGGGAACUGCCAUUGAUACUAUCAGUCUUGAAUAUUGUGGAGGUCAGCGGAAUAUGUCAUGUAGCGGUGAAAUGCUUAGAUAUGACAUAGAACACCAAUUGCGAAGGCAGCUGGUUACGCAUAUAUUGACACUGAGGCACGAAAGCGUGGGGAUCAAACAGG
rnacentral:rRNA from 1 species